rnacentral:rRNA from 1 species
AUACGGAGGGUGCAAACGUUGCUCGGAAUCAUUGGGCGUAAAGCGUGCGUAGGCGGCUUGGCAAGUCGGAUGUGAAAGCCCUCGGCUCAACCGAGGAAGUGCAUUCGAAACUACCAAGCUUGAAUACUGGAGAGGGUGGCGGAAUUCCCGGUGUAGAGGUGAAAUUCGUAGAUAUCGGGAGGAACACCAGUGGCGAAGGCGGUCACCUGGACAGAUCUUGACGCUGAGGCACGAAAGCGUGGGGAGCAAACAGGAUUAGAAACCCCAGUAGUCC